UGGACUAAUUUUUUUGGCAGUAGUUGGAUUUUAUUAUAUAUAUAUUUAUUUUAAUGUUUGGUGGAAUAUUAUUAAUUUAUUUUAUAUUUUUUUCUUUUUUACUAUUUAGACUAAUUUUUAAACUAGGAUUAGAUACCCUAUUAUUUUAGAUUAAUUUUAUUGCCAGGGUAGUAUUUUUAUUUGAUUGAAACCUAAAGAAUUUGGCGGCAUUUUAUCUUUUUAGAGGAACCUGUUUCUUAAAUGAUGUUACACGAUUGGCACAACUUAUCAUAAUUGUUUGUAUAUUUCCGUUAUCAGAAUAUUUAUAGAUAAUAUUUUCAUUAUUUUUUAUAAAAAUUUAUUUCAGGUCAAGGUGCAGCUUAUUGUUAAGUGUUAAAUGGGUUACAAUAGUUUAAUUUAUAUGGAUAUAUUUUUUAAAUUUUUUAUUGAAGGUGGAUUUAUUAGUAAGAUUUAAUAAUUAUUAAGUUUGAAUUAGUACUAAAUUGUGUACAUAUCGCCCGUCGCUCUCAUUUAUUUGAGAUAAGUCGUAACAAAGUAGAUUUACUGGAAAGUGAAUCUGGAUU
rnacentral:rRNA from 1 species